ACCUGCAGAGAUUUUGACAAGUCUUACAUGUUUUCUGCUCCAUUCUUUGGGUCAAGAACACGCUGGUUAAUAGCCAAUUAUUUCAUACCCUAAGGAAGUUUUGGGAAAGAAGUUCCUGAGAAGACAACUUGUUUUAGGAAAUCGGGCUAAUAUUCAGUAGAGAACACAGACCUGUUUCCCUGAAUGCUGGAGGAAUCAAACAAAAAGCAGCAGCAUCUUUGCUCACGGCUUCUGCCUUUAUAUGCUUGCUCUGUCAGGCUGAAAAGUUACUACAGGAACUGCCCUGGGCCACCAGUUGCAAAGCUGUCAAAAUUAUCAUGAAGGAAUUGCAUCUUUGCAGCAUGAAUCCAGCCCAGUUUGUUCCUCCUCACAGCACCUGUCAAGAAGAGUGCUUUGACUUUCCAGGAGACAAAAUGAAUUUCUUAGAUGCACCACUGAUAUCCCUCAGCAUUCUGCAGCCCAGCGCAUACAGCCUGGGGAAGUCUUGUAGAUCCUCCACAAAGCACUGACUCAAGGGAAGAAGACAUCUCUGAAUUCUGAGUUCGAAUAACCUGGGUCCAACCAGCAGGAGCUUUUUCUCUGUGAGAUUAAAUAUGUAAGAUUUUAUAACCCAGUUUAAACAUGUCCCAUGCAAAAUUCAGGAUUGGUUUUCAGUAUGUAAUUUUCCUUUAAUUUUUAAACAAGUUCUUGCAAUGAUGUUAAUUUUAUUAUCUGUAUUGAUGGAAUGAUGAAGAAAUCAAAAUACAAAAAUCUACAGAUAAAUUGAUAUUUAAUCAUUAAUCUAUUCCUGUCAAUGAAAUUUUAACCAAUCAUAAAUUUAAAUGUAAUCAGAACUAAAUCUGUCACUAUAUAAUUAGAUUGCUGAGUUGUGAGGUAGCAGAAAUCCAUUAUCUUUACAUAAACUUCUAGUUUCCAAGGCAAUUUAGUCUCUAAUCUCAUAAGAGCUGGCAGUUAAGUAAGCGUGUUUUUCUAUCAAGUUUAAUGUAGAGAAAAACAAAAUUCAAAAUGAAGGACAAAAAGAAAAUUAUGGAACAGUAACAAAAUUAAGUUAGUUCAAAAGUUUUUUUUUUAUUAAACAUAAAUUCUACGGGGAAAAAUAAUAAUACAAGAAUGUUUGGAAGAAAUUUUCAAUAUUAUUAGGACACUCCACUGAUGUAAGCGUUUUAAUCCAAUGCUUCUUAUCGUUAAUGAAUGGACUCUAUUAAUGGAGCCUCCAGAUACUUUCUUUCACUUUGCAAAUCUACUUACAGGAAGGUUUAGAAAUAAUGCAAAAGCAGCUUACAUGAAAAAGAAAUUAAAAGAACUGAUUUGGGAGGAAGGGAAAUAGACAACCCUCAUUUGCAUUUAAAGGAAAUCUAUUCCAUUGAUCUAGCUUUUAGCCAAACAAAAAGUAAAAAUAUAUAGAUUAGUAAAAAUAUAUAGAUUAUAGUUCUGCAAAUGGAGGGUUCAUUUUGAGCUACAUUGAUUUUCAAUUUAUGGAAUAGGUUGUGAUUAAAAAUAAAUAAACACCAUCCCAGCUCCCCGAAUUACGUAUUACUUUAAUGUAUUGAGUUUUUUUCCUUCAUGUGAAAGAGAGAAAAAACAACCAAACAAAAA
rnacentral:lncRNA from 1 species